AGCAGUAGCAGGGGCAGCAGUAGUAGUGAGGGCAGCAGCAGUAGUAGUGAGGGCAGCAGUAGCCGGGGCAGCAGUAGUAGUGAGGGAAGCAGUAGCAGGGGCAGCAGUAGUAGUGAGGGCAGCAGCAGUAGUAGUGAGGGCAGCAGGAGUAGUAGUGAGGGCAGAAGCAGCAGUAGUAGUAGUGAGGGCAGAAGCAGCAGUAGUAGUGACGGCAGAAGCAGCAGUAGUAGUAGUGAGGGCAGAAGCAGCAGUAGUAGUGAGGGCAGAAGCAGCAGUAGUAGUGAGGGCAGAAGCAGUAGUAGUAGUGAGGGCGGAAGCAGCAGUAGUAGUGAGGGCGGAAGCAGCAGUAGUAGUGAAGGCGGAAGCAGCAGUAGUAGUGAGGGUGGAAGCAGCAGUAGU
ensembl:lncRNA